rnacentral:rRNA from 1 species
GUGCCAGCAGCCGCGGUAAUACCGGCAGCUCAAGUGAUGUCCCAUAUUAUUGGGCCUAAAGCGUCCGUAGCUGGCCGACCAAGUCUCCCGGGAAAUCCACCCGCCCAACGGGUGGGCGACCGGCGGAAACUGUUCGGCUUGGGGCCGGAGGACCCGAGGGGUACGUCCGGGGUAGGAGUGAAAUCCUGUAAUCCUGGACGGACCGCCGGUGGCGAAAGCGCCUCGGGAAGACGGACCCGACAGUGAGGGACGAAAGCCAGGGUCUCCAACCGGAUUAGAUACCCGGGUAGUCC